AUAAAUGAGCCUUUCAGCGCGCGCAGCCCGAGCUCCCUCCCCGGGAGGCCGGGAAUUUCCAUCCUGUAACGGAGCGGGACGGCGAGGCAGAGCCAUCCCCCCGCAGCCAUUGGCACAGGGCCGGGGGCUCCCGCCCCCUCGGGCCGGCCCGCCGAGCUUUCCCCGGGAGAUGCUGAAGCCCCCGGGCGAUGCUGAAGACCCCUGCGCCAGGCGGCGGGAGGGAUGCGGGGACCCUCCCGGCUCUCCCGGAGCCCCAGGCAGCCCACUUCCAGGUCUUCAGGGAUUUGCUCGGCAGAUGGUAACUCCGUUCCGAUGAAGGAGCUGUUUCGGUGGAACAAUAGCAGUGAAGUGAGAUUUGCACCCCAGGUCAGUCACACUGCUGUCAUCAACCCUGUCACAUGGUGUCCUGAGAACUGGGACUGACAUCAGCCACGUUGCUGAGUCCUUGGUCUUCACGGGGUGAAACAACUGCUGGGAACCAGGAAAACCAGACUUAGGGGUCUAAAUAUUGCCUGAGGUUUAAGGCUGAGGAUCCUGAGCCAAAAGAGGCCCAGUAAGAUCCAUCACCAUUGAAGUGCAGUCAUAGAUUUUUUGGAGCUGAAGCUCCAGCACUCAGCACUUACAUGGAAAAGGAGAAUCCUACAAAUAUACAAAAUAGCCCAUAUGCAAAAGAUACAUGGCCACGUGGAGCAGUCUGUAAGUUCCCUUGACAGCUACUGUGGGUUAGCUGCAUAUUGAGAGUACACUGAUUCUUCAGAGAAAAGGAAUAGAAAACUUACAACAACAGUGGUAAUGUGCAUAAACAAGCAAAUUAUUGAGUUCUGGUGCCUUACCUUCCUUCACCUACUCUCUUCAUACUCUCAGCCAAGCUACUCAUAUGACAUGUGCUAUCUGCUUUGUUUCUUCUUUCCACCUGAUCCAUGGUCAAUUUAGAACCAGAUAACAUUUGAUCUCCGCUGUUUUCACCUUCCUCGACUCUUCGGGCUGAUGUUCCGUCUGCCUCUAUCUCUUUCUCAGAUGUCUCUGGAGAGGUUUUAAUUUCUGCAACAGUUUCUUGGCUUAAGUAAUCAUGAUUAGUGAUUGCUACUGCAGAAGUUCCAUGAUUUGUUGCACCACCCGUACUGGUACCCAUUGACUUUGAAAUGACUUUAAGUCUGUGUGAAGUUGACUUGUAGUGCUUCUUUUUGUGUUUAACUUUGGAAUUGUGUCUCAAGAAAAAUUCACAUGACUCUUGCAGCACUCUUCGACUCUCACUUAUUGGACUAAAAGAGAACAAAAGCAGGUAACUGAAUGAAGAGGAUAACCUUGGCUAUAAUGUGAUAAAGACUCAGACAUAAAACCCUGACAGAACAGGAACCAGUGAUGCAAUCUGAGAUGGAUGUCAAUGAACAAGAAAAAAAAAUUAUAUGUGAAAAGAAGAGAAAAAAAGUCUGAUCAUAAUAGCACCAAAGUAAUUAUGUUUGUGGAACAAUUAAAUAAAGCAGAUUUCUACAUAUCUUA